CCUACGGGCGGCAGCAGUGGGGGAUAUUGCACAAUGGAGGUAACUCUGAUGCAGCGACGCCGCGUGAGGGAAGACGGUCUUCUGAUUGUAAACCUCUUUCUUUGGGGAAGAAAAUGACGGUACCCAAAGAGGAAGUGCCGGCUAACUACGUGCCAGCAGCCGCGGUAAUACGUAGGGAGCGAGCGUUGUGCGGAAUUACUGGGGGAAAAGGGAGCGUAGGCGGGAGGGAAAGUUGAAUGUUAAAUCUACCGGCUCAACGGGUAGCUGCGUUCGAAACUUCUUGGUUUGAGUGAAGGAGAGGCAGGCGGAAUGCGGAGUGUAGCGGUGAAAGGCGUAGAUAGUAGGAGGAACACCGGUGGCGAAGGCGGCAUGCUGG
rnacentral:rRNA from 1 species